AUCCAUUUGUUCACUAAAAGGCAUUUGGGUUAAUUCCAUAUCUUGGGUAUGGUAAACAAUGCUGCCAUGAACAUGGUUGUGCUGUUGGUUGGUGA